ensembl:lncRNA
UGGUUGUUGGUUAAAAAAAAGCACAAGUGAGAUCAUUUUCUCUCAUUUCCCAUUUGAAGGACGACACAGUAGAAGGCAAAAGAUGUGUGGCGUAGAUGAAAAUGCAACUUCCUGUUAAGAAAGGGCCUUAACGCAAAGCUGAAGAGGAGAGUGUCUCUGACACUGCUCUGCUGUCUCUAGACCCCUAAAAACAGCUUAAGGAUUUUUUUUGAAGGUGAAAACUCUCCGGCAACUGAACCGACCGAUUAGACGCACGAGAACACGACAUAUGGUGUCUUAGAAACGGCUUUUGAACUCUUGGAUAUGGCGAGAUUUUUUACGCUAGGACCCUUGGUUUUGGUCCUAUGCUUGGUCUUAUACCCCCCAAACUCACAGACUGAAGGAGACAACAAACCAAAGACAGAUGUCAGUGCUGACCAAUCAAAGAACGCCACACCUCCCACUGCUCACAUCCCUACAUUACCUACCACUAAAGACCCCUCAAACUCACAGACUGAAGGAGACAACAAACCAAAGACAGGUGUCAGUGCUGACCAAUCAAAGAACGCCACACCUCCCACUGCUCACAUCCCUACAUUACCUACCACUAAAGGUAACCACGACAACACGCAUCACCACAGCACACACACACUCCAGCAUUAUACAGUAUCUCUCUCACACUCAUCACUCAUGACCUCUGACCUCCAUCCUCCCAUCAUGUACACUGUGAACUCUCCUUCAGAAUCACAUCUUCAGUGCUGCGCUCAUGAGCAGUGUUAUACUUUUAUAAUGUUGCUAAUCUUUAUUUAUAAGAAAGUGUUUCCUAUAAGAAUCCCAUAAUAACUGUUCUGCAGGUUGAUGUCUUCACAUGAUAAACAGAUAAGGGUCAAAAUAAUAUUGACCAACAGCCAAGGCAUUAUUUUUGAUGAAUGUUGCAAAUAAUACAAAUACUGAAUGGCAUUUCAUGUUGAGUUUAAAGUCUGUAAACAUAAGUUAUUUCAAAUGAAUAUGUGACCUCUAUCCUGUGACACAGUCUACAUUAGAACCAGUAAAGAAGCGCUUGGGUUACUUGUAGGUGAAUAGAUGUAGCUCGUCUUUCAAUAAUCAGUCAUAUUCAUUAGAUUCUGGAAACAUUCACAUUAUAGAAAAGUGUUUUUUAUAUAAUCUAUAACAAAGGUCAUUUUUAUUGAAUUAUAGGUAACUUCACAAAUAGAUCUAGAAAAAAAAAAAAAAAAAACAUUGAUUGUGAUGUUACUUGUGUGUAUUUACUGAAAUAGCUUUAUAAUAUAGAAAUAUUUAGCAGUAUCUAGUAGUCACACUUAGAAAGUUUGAUCCUUUAUUGUACAGACAUGUACAAUUUUUAUUGUAUUUUUUUUUUCCUCUGAGAACAGAGUUUAGAAUAACACUCACCUCUAACAGGUAAUGAAGUGCCCAGAUUACUUGUAAAUGAGUUAGUUUGAGUUAUUAUUAUUAUUAUUAUUAUUAUUAUUAUUAUUAUUAUUAUUAUUGUAAUAUUAUUAUUUAAUUUUUUUCGUAUUCUCAAAAUCCCAUUUCUAAAAAUUCGUAAACAUGGUUUCUC